rnacentral:rRNA from 1 species
GACGAACGCUGGCGGCGUGCUUAACACAUGCAAGUCGAACGAAGUGGCGAACGGGUGAGUAACGCGUACUCAACCUGCCCUUCAGAGGGGGACAACAGUUGGAAACGACUGCUAAUACCGCAUACUGAAGGAGGGGCUUGCGUCUGAUUAGCUAGUUGGAGGGGUAACGGCCCACCAAGGCGAUGAGCAGUAGCCGGUCUGGGAGGAGGAACCGCCAACGUGGGAAUGGGACACGGCCCAGACCCCUACGGGAGGCAGCAGUGGGGAAUCUUCCGCAAUGGACGGAAGGCUGACGGAGCAACGCCGCGGGAGUGAGGACGGCCUUCGGGUUGGAAAGCUCUGUUAAUCGGGACGCGGUACCGGAAUAGAAAGCCACGGCUAACUACGUGCCAGCAGCCGCGGUAAUUC